CGCUAGGUACUGCUUCAUCCCGACGCCGGCCUUGUCGCAGAAGUCUAGGAUCUUGUCGUUGAGGCUCACCGCGUGGUCGACGCUGCCGUGGCCUGACGCCGACGGUGCCGACGACAGGAACCCCACCAGAGGAGGAUGGGGCCAUUGUUGCUGUCUUUAAGGAUGUUGCCGAAGACCUCCGUCGCGAACCGGUGGAUGGUGCUUCUCGGGAUGAGGAGGUUGAGCCAUGGGUGCGGAACCUCCCAGAGGCCCUGGGCCCUGAGCUUGAGCUCGGAGGAGUGCACCCUGUCCAGGAACUCGAGCCUCCUCAGGGUCGAAGUUCUUGGUCAUCUCAAGGCAGUAGAGCACCUUCCCGUCCGACUGGAAGUGGCUGGCCUGCACCGGGUCCUGCGGCUUGAACGACGUCCUCCAGUUGUUGAGGAUGCCCGUCCGGUUGAUGAUCACGAACCCCUCGAUGUAGUCGAAGGUCUCGUCCGCCGAGAUCAGCGCCUCCUGGUCCUCGGUGAAGCUCGCGAAGUCCGAGUAGAGCACCCGGAUCCACCUCACCUGCCAUCAUAUCCAAUCCAAGAGAUCAGUACAACUGAAUGAAAUGAGCGACCCAUGUUGGAGGGCGAUCCUGGCUCUGGUGAUGAUGCCGAACUGGCCCAGGCCGCCGAGGGCGCCGUAGAAGAGGUCGGAGUUCUCGUCCGGCGAGCAGGUGACCACAUCCCCUCUCCCUGCAUUUGGUGUUUAUGGGACGAUACAUCAGGGUCAUAUUUGUGAACUUUGUAGGCAUGAGGCAAGUGGGCUCUUUGUUUUGGCAGAAUGUGCGCUUCAUUUCUUGAGCAAAAGCAUUUUGCGCCCAACGACACGCACGUGAUCCAUAUUCGCAAUGUGAAGUCGUUGACCCAUUGGUGGUACACCAUCUCCAAGGUCCUCAUGAGGAUCGAGGGUGGACCAUUUGCAUUCAUACAUUGUCAUAUGAAGCUCAAAGGCAAUAGUGCGUGAAGCGGCUUAUGCCGAUUGCGACUUGAGUAUCGUUGAGUUUGGAAUCGAUGAAUUUGAAAAGCUGGUUGAACAUCCGAUUAUUUGGGAC